CCAUCCUCAUCCUCCCCACAACCGUUGACCCUGCGUGACACGCCACUCAGCGACCUCACUUCAGAGCAAAGCCCGUUAUUGAACCGUGACACGGGACUUUGGUCCAGGUGCUAUUUUAGAGAUAUAUUGGGUCAGUGGCGCGGAGUGUCCAAACAAGACUUUGACCUCAAAUAUCUGUCUUGAAUAUGUCGAUGGGAGGACGAAUAUUCCCCCAGAAUUCCCGAGGUCUGCUGGGAAAAUAACUGUUUGUGUUCGCUCGGCUGAAAAUAGAUCGGGCGAUUGUGAAAAUGAAAAUAAACACAAUCGUCCAAACCAUCAUCUUGAUUGCGAUGAUCCACACAGAGAGCCAACUGCCUCCGAAGUCCUCUGUCUGUUGUCAGGAGCCGUGGAGCUAUUUCUAGGAAAUCAAAAAAUUGCCAACUGUGUUUUUUUUCGCGAUGCCCAUGACAGCGCUUGUCUGCAGAUUCCAGAGUUUCCGGGUUUCCUCUUAUCAGCGGCCUGUUUGCUCAGCCUUUAAACCAGCACUGAAAAAUCCUUCUGCUCUACCAUUGUGGUUCUCCCAGAUUCCUUGCCCCCUCUGCAGAGGACCAGAGGAACUACAUCCUAGUGCAGAGUGACACUUUCCAGGGCCCCAUGAGAAGAGGAGGCGCAGCAGUGUGACAGGCGGAGGAGCGAGACAGAGACUGAGGAGGUAAAAGAGAGGAAGAGGAGGAAGAGGAGGAAGAGGAGGAGGAAGGCAAACAGUAUUUGUCAGAUAAGUCAUAAAUCCGUAUUGGAGCAGUAGGAAGCUUGAGGUGCCCAUUCAUCUCGUCUGUUCCUCAAAUGUACUCGACAUUUCUUUUCCUACAUCACCAGAAAUGAUAAAUGACAACAUGAUAAUUAUGACGCCUGAAUGGUUCAUGGUAACUGCGUAAACAAUACAUGUCCACCAGUUCUGCAACUUAUGGUUAUUUCCAUCACCAAUUAAUUCUGGUGGUUGUUUCGUCAAUCACAAGUCGGAAAUAGUCAGAAAGCCCCGAAAAGGUUCAGAUUAGCAUCACAUUGUAAAAAAAAAAAAAAAAGAGUCUGUAAAAGAACUGAGGUUAAAUUUGGCUUUCAAGAAAAAUGACAAAUUAUAUGAAUAAAUAAAAUAUCUAUUGUAUGAUUCUUU